rnacentral:rRNA from 1 species
UACGGAGGGGGCUAGCGUUGUUCGGAAUUACUGGGCGUAAAGCGUACGUAGGCGGCUUUGUACGUUAGAGGUGAAAGCCCGGGGCUCAACUCCGGAAUUGCCUUUAAGACUGCAUCGCUUGAAUCAUGGAGAGGUGAGUGGAAUUCCGAGUGUAGAGGUGAAAUUCGUAGAUAUUCGGAAGAACACCAGUGGCGAAGGCGACUCACUGGACAUGUAUUGACGCUGAGGUACGAAAGCGUGGGGAGCAAACAGG